AAGUCGUAACAAGGUAACCGUAGGUGAACCUGCGGUUGGAUCAUUAGUGGUUUUUACGUAGCGCUGUUGUAGUGUUUCUGGGGGGUGUUGGUCUUUGGUUUGGUUUUGGUGUCUUUUUGUUUGUCUGUUUUUGUGCAUUGCCUUGUGCUGCCUUGUGCAUUGCCUUGUGCGGUGUCUUGUGCGUUGCCGUGGCAGUACAAACGGAUCGACGGCAACACUCGGACCAGACCCAAGAACCCUUGCAGACAAUAGACGUCUUUGCUUGCUUUGAUGAAACCAAAUCAAAAACAACUUUUGACAACGGAUCUCUUGGUUCUG
rnacentral:misc_RNA from 1 species